ACAGCUCCAAAGCCGCGAAGCUCACAUCGUACAGGAUGUCUCGCACGUCCGACCUCGUGAGCGGGCUAAGGUCUGAGUAUCAUACCCCCUCGACUGGUUCUAGCAGAAUCUGGCUCUAACGAGCUGAGCGACGUACCAGAAAUGCGACGCGCGAAAUUGCCUGACGGCUAAUUCCUGAGAACCCCAACGAGUGCUGGAAUCGGCGUUCGGAUCCCUUCGUGCGUGGGGGAGGGAGGUUGUACGGGAGCUCGUGCGUCUUGAAAAGCGUCGCGGGGAUUGGGUGCGUUUUCCCUUCUGCAGAUCCUCGUCAGCCUUCCAUGUUCUCGAACUGUCAGUUUGUGUGUUCGCGCUACGUGUCGAGAAUUCGAUGCCAUGGGACGGGAGUCUCUAGCUAUGGUCGCAGCAGGAUGUCUUCAAGACUAUCCGAACACCCAAGGGGAACCGAAGGGGCUGUCUUUACAAAGAACCGCCAGCUUGGAAGUGAUGGCACGCAGGAUUGCGUCUGUUGCAGAAGAGAUUGGUAAUGGUGCUGAAGCAGGACUGCAUUCGUUUUGGAAGGCUGGCUGAUGGUUUGGCAGUAGCAGGAGAUCUGCAUCCUUGAGUCCACUUCGCGGCUCGUGGUGACUAGUCUCGUCCUCGUUGACGGUGAUUUGGCGCCGCGAAACUCGAUUCAGACUACUCUGGGGCUGU
rnacentral:RNase_P_RNA from 2 species